rnacentral:misc_RNA from 1 species
GCACCUUUGAUAUUUUCCAUCAUAUCAGAACUUUUUGGCCUAAAACACUAUGCUACACUGCUCAACUUUGGCGGAGCAGCCAGUCCAAUUGGAGCUUAUGUAUUCAAUGUUAGAUUGGUUGGUCAUUUUUAUGACAAGGAAGCUUUGAGGCAAAUGGCAGCUUUGGGACUUUUCAGGAAGCCAGGGGAUCAUUUAACAUGCAUCGGUAUCGAGUGUUACAGGUCUUCUUUUCUGAUAAUUGCUGCAGCAAGUUUUGUAGGGUGCAUUAUAUCAUACAUUUUGGUACUUAGAACAAGAAAGUUCUAUAAAGGCGAUAUUUACAAGAAGUUCAGAGAGCAAGAGUAAGCUGUGCGAAAUAGUUCAGUCUGCCACACAUUUUGUAACAUGCUAUAGUUUAUAUCUAAU